rnacentral:rRNA from 1 species
AACGAACGCUGGCGGCAUGCCUAACACAUGCAAGUCGAACGAGACCUUCGGGUCUAGUGGCGCUCGGGUGCGUAACGCGUGGGAACCUGCCCUUAGGUUCGGAAUAACUCCCCGAAAGGGGUGCUAAUACCGGAUAAUGUCUUCGGACCAAAGAUUUUUCGCCUUUGGAUGGGCCCGCGUUGGAUUAGCUAGUUGGUAGGGUAAAAGCCUACCAAGGCGACGAUCCAUAGCUGGUCUGAGAGGAUGAUCAGCUACACUGGAACUGAGACACGGCCCAGACUGCUACGGGAGGCAGCAGUAGGGAAUAUUAGACAAUGAGCGAAAGCCUGACCCAGCAGUGCCGCGUGAGUGAUGAAGGCCUUAGGGUUGUAAAGCUCUUUUACCCGGGACGAUAAUGACAGUACCGGGAGAAUAAGCUCCGGCUAACUCCGUG